UACAGAGGGUGCGAGCGUUAAUCGGAAUUACUGGGCGUAAAGCGCACGUAGGCGGACUGUUAAGUCGGGGGUGAAAUCCUGGGGCUCAACCUCAGAAUUGCCUCCGAUACUGGCAGUCUCGAGUCCGGGAGAGGUGAGUGGAAUUCCUAGUGUAGAGGUGAAAUUCGUAGAUAUUAGGAAGAACACCAGUGGCGAAGGCGGCUCACUGGCCCGGUACUGACGCUGAGGCGCGAAAGCGUGGGGAGCAAACAGG
rnacentral:rRNA from 1 species